GGGCAUGAGCCGCAGCACCGGGCACCCCAUUGCUUGGCAGGGUAGGUUUGGCUGGUCUGGCUGUCUAAGCAGGUGUCCCUUCCUCCCUCAUGGCUCCAUGUGUGUCCCUCCUCAGACGCAGCUCAGCUGAUGAGGGUGACAGUUCCCAUGUAAAAGAGGCCCAGCCUGUGGUCAAGGGUGUGCAAGCCGCUGCUGUGCGUCCCUGUUAGGCCCUCCAAACAGGCCCUCACGUGCACUUGUGUCCACAGACCAUCUAAUUCUCCUCUUCUGCCGCCGACUUAUCUGGCAGCCUGG
ensembl:misc_RNA 7SK 7SK RNA